rnacentral:rRNA from 1 species
CCUACGGGAGGCAGCAGUGGGGAAUAUUGCACAAUGGGCGCAAGCCUGAUGCAGCCAUGCCGCGUGUGUGAAGAAGGCCUUCGGGUUGUAAAGCACUUUCAGUCAGGAGGAAAGGUUAGUAGUUAAUACCUGCUAGCUGUGACGUUACUGACAGAAGAAGCACCGGCUAACUCCGCGCCAGCAGCCGCGGUAAUACGGAGGGUGCGAGCGUUAAUCGGAAUUACUGGGCGUAAAGCGUACGCAGGCGGUUUGUUAAGCGAGAUGUGAAAGCCCCGGGCUCAACCUGGGAACUGCAUUUCGAACUGGCAAACUAGAGUGUGAUAGAGGGUGGUAGAAUUUCAGGUGUAGCGGUGAAAUGCGUAGAGAUCUGAAGGAAUACCGAUGGCGAAGGCAGCCACCUGGGUCAACACUGACGCUCAUGUACGAAAGCGUGGGGAGCAAACGGGAUUAGAUACCCCGGUAGUCCACGCCGUAAACGAUGUCUACUAGAAGCUCGGAGCCUCGGUUCUGUUUUUCAAAGCUAACGCAUUAAGUAGACCGCCUGGGGAGUACAGCCGCAAGGUUAAAACUCAAGGAAUUGACGG